rnacentral:sRNA from 1 species
GUAAAAAUCGUAACAAGGUUUCCGUAGGUGAACCUGCGGAAGGAUCAUUACCGAGUGCGGGCCCUCGUGGCCCAACCUCCCACCCUUGUCUCUAUACACCUGUUGCUUUGGCGGGCCCACCGGGGCCACCUGGUCGCCGGGGGACAUCUGUCCCCGGGCCCGCGCCCGCCGAAGCGCUCUGUGAACCCUGAUGAAGAUGGGCUGUCUGAGUACUAUGAAAAUUGUCAAAACUUUCAACAAUGGAUCUCUUGGUUCCGGCAUCGAUGAAGAACGCAGCGAAAUGCGAUAAGUAAUGUGAAUUGCAGAAUUCCGUGAAUCAUCGAAUCUUUGAACGCACAUUGCGCCCCCUGGCAUUCCGGGGGGCAUGCCUGUCCGAGCGUCAUUUCUGCCCUCAAGCACGGCUUGUGUGUUGGGUGCGGUCCCCCCGGGGACCUGCCCGAAAGGCAGCGGCGACGUCCGUCUGGUCCUCGAGCGUAUGGGGCUUUGUCACUCGCUCGGGAAGGACUGGCGGGGGUUGGUCACCACCAAAAUUUUACCACGGUUGACCUCGGAUCAAGUAGGAGUUACCCGCUGAACUUAAGCAUAUCAAUAAGCGGAGGAAAAGAAACCAACCGGGAUUGCCUCAGUGACUGCGAGUGAAGCGGCAAGAGCUCGAUUUGAAAUCUGGCCCCCUCGGAGUCCGAGUUGUAUUUGAAAGGAUGCUUCGGGUGCUGUCCCCAUCUUGUGACCUGGAACGGACCGUAUAGAAGGUGAGAACCCGUCUGGGAUAGCGGCCACUCCGUGUGAAUCUCCUUCGACAGUCGAGUUGUUUGUGAAUGCACUCUAGCGGUGGUAAUUUCUCUCAGCUAAUACUGGCCGG